UGGCGGACGGGUGAGUAAUGUCUGGGAAACUGCCUGAUGGAGGGGGAUAACUACUGGAAACGGUAGCUAAUACCGCAUAACGUCGCAAGACCAAAGAGGGGGACCUUCGGGCCUCUUGCCAUCGGAUGUGCCCAGAUGGGAUUAGCUAGUAGGUGGGGUAACGGCUCACCUAGGCGACGAUCCCUAGCUGGUCUGAGAGGAUGACCAGCCACACUGGAACUGAGACACGGUCCAGACUCCUACGGGGGCAGCAUG
rnacentral:rRNA from 1 species